AAAAUCUAGCAUGGCUAAGUAUGAGAAUGACUUGUUAGGUUGACAAAGAAAUGUACAAGUAUGGCUACUUGAUGUACUCUCAGGGAACUUGUAGAUCUUCUCAGCUGUACACCCUAAACAUAUCUUGUAUCCUCUUCCACUUCUUUUGGUCUAGAAGGGAGGGUUCAACCAUGCGUGUUUUCUCGUGACGAUCGGCAUCUCCGUGCAUCUCAUCUAUAUUGACAACAACCAUGGUUCAUCGAUUUUCACUAGAAUAUUUGAAGUGCCGAAAAUACAAGGAUGAUUAAAACCUACAUUUUUAUGACUACAAAAACAUGAUGGACCUGCUUAUCUGUCAUCCCUGAGCUUUCAGUGUUGGUGCAUGAUGCCUCCGGUUCCAAUUAAUUUACCUAUCAAACUGGGAAGCUCACAGUAACUGCUCAUCACAUAUUUUUGUCUCUGCU
rnacentral:lncRNA from 1 species